UACACACCGCCCGUCACACCAUGGGAGUUGGUUUACCCGAAGCCGGUCAUGCUAACCCUGCAAAGGGAGGCAGCCGACCACGGUAAGGUCAGCGACUGGGGUG
rnacentral:rRNA from 1 species